AGUGAACGCUGGCGGUAGGCCUAACACAUGCAAGUCGAACGGCAGCACAGUAAGAGCUUGCUCUUACGGGUGGCGAGUGGCGGACGGGUGAGGAAUACAUCGGAAUCUACUUUUUCGUGGGGGAUAACGUAGGGAAACUUACGCUAAUACCGCAUACGACAUACGGGUGAAAGCAGGGGAUCUUCGGACCUUGCGCGAUUGAAUGAGCCGAUGUCGGAUUAGCUAGUUGGCGGGGUAAAGGCCCACCAAGGCGACGAUCCGUAGCUGGUCUGAGAGGAUGAGCAGCCACACUGGAACUGAGACACGGACCAGACUCCUACGGGAAGCAAGAGUGGGGAAUAUUGGGCAAUGGGCGCGAGCCUGAUCCAGCCAUACCGCGUAGGUGAAAAAGGCCUUCGGGUUGUAAAGGCCUUUUGUUGGGAAAGAAAAGCAGCAGGUUAAAACCCCGCUGUUCUGACGGUACCCAGAGAAUAAACACCGGCUAACUUCGUG
rnacentral:rRNA from 1 species